CGGAAUGUCGUACAGGGGUAGUAUACCCGCUUUGGGAGCGGGGGGUCGCAGGUUCGAAUCCUGUCAUUCCGA
rnacentral:tRNA from 1 species